UCUUCCAGGCUAGUACUCAAGUCAGCUGUACCUAUACCUAUCUGUCCCAGUCCUGGGAGGUUGAACAUGCUGGAAGAGCAGUCAGCCAUUGAACUAUGUCCCCAGCCCAUGUCUAAGGUAUUUUUUAUGAACUGAACUAUGUUAACUUCCUCCAAACUCAUAUCUAGAACUCUUAGUCAUCUGUACUUCAGAAAGUGACUAUAUUUAAAGGUAGGGCCUUAUCGGGAUAAACAGACAAGCUGAAGAUAUAUCAUGGGCACUAAUCCAGCAUGACCUUGUUUUAAAAAAAAAAAGAAAAGAAAAGCAGACAUCUACAGAAAGAAGACUGGGAAACAGUGACAAAUUAAACAGAGAUGCCUCCGAUGAAGCCAACACUCGAAAGCUGAGGAAAUAAAUGUCGACUUGCACCUCACCCAGACUGAGGAAAAGUAUUAAAGAAUGUGAAAGCAGGGUAGGCAAAUCUGGGCUGGAAUCCAGAUCCCAAGUGCUCCAGCUGGGAGAAGGAGGCACCGUUCUCGACUCGGAUGAGGCUGGCUUCACCAUCCUUAUAAGCGGAGCUCAUUUCCCUCACAAGGUUGUGAACAGGAUUGCAUAAGAAGCCUCUGCUGAAGCCCAGAUAACAUAAUCAACUAUUUUCUGGAUGAAG